rnacentral:rRNA from 1 species
GCGUGUCGUCAGCUCGUGUCGUGAGAUGUUGGGUUAAGUCCCGCAACGAGCGCAACCCUUGCCUUUAGUUGCCAGCAGUUCGGCUGGGCACUCUAAAGGGACUGCCGGUGUUAAACCGGAGGAAGUGGGGAUGACGUCAAGUCCUCAUGGCCUUUAUGACCAGGGCUACACACGUACUACAAUGGCCGAUACAAAGGGCAGCGACAUUGCGAAAUGAAGCCAAUCCCAUAAAUUCGGUCUCAGUCCGGAUUGGAGUCUGCAACUCGACUCUAUGAAGUUGGAAUCGCUAGUAAUCGUGGAUCAGCAUGCCACGGUCGAAUACGUUCCCGGGCCUU